UGGCGUUUUUCACUCUGAAGAGGCUGA
rnacentral:piRNA from 1 species